CGUCAACCAUGGGGAGGUGUAGUCUAACGACUAAGGGGAUGACGUCAACCAUGGGGAGGUGUAGUCUAAGGGGAUGACGUCAACCAUGGGGAGGUGUAGUCGAACGGCUAGGGGAUGACGUCAAGCAUGGGGAGGUGUAGUCUAACGGCUAGGGGGAUGACGUCAACCAUGGGGAGGUGUAGUCUAACGGCUAGGGGGAUGACGUCAACCAUGGCGAGGUGUAGUCUAAUGGCUAAGGGGGAUGACGUCAACCAUGGGGAGGUGUAGUCUAACGUGUAGGGGAUGACGUCAACCAUGGAGGUGUA